GGGGGCAUAGCUCAGCUAGGAGAGCACCUGCUUUGCAAGCAGGGGUCGGUUCGAUCCCGUCUGCCUCCA
rnacentral:tRNA from 1 species